GACGAACGCUGGCGGCGUGCUUAACACAUGCAAGUCGAACGCUGAAGCUUGGUGCUUGCACUGGGUGGAUGAGUGGCGAACGGGUGAGUAAUAAGUGAGUAACCUGCCCUUGACUCUGGGAUAAGCCUGGGAAACUGGGUCUAAUACUGGAUACGACAUGUCACCGCAUGGUGGUGUGUGGAAAGGGUUUUACUGGUUUUGGAUGGGCUCACGGCCUAUCAGCUUGUUGGUGGGGUAAUGGCUCACCAAGGCGACGACGGGUAGCCGGCCUGAGAGGGUGACCGGCCACACUAGGACUGAGACACGGCCCAGACUCCUACGGGAGGCAGCAGUGGGGAAUAUUGCACAAUGGGCGGAAGCCUGAUGCAGCGACGCCGCGUGAGGGAUGACGGCCUUCGGGUUGUAAACCUCUUUCAGCACGGAAGAAGCGAAAGUGACGGUACGUGCAGAAGAAGCGCCGGCUAACUACGUG
rnacentral:rRNA from 1 species